GAUGAACGCUGGCGGCGUGCCUAAUACAUGCAAGUCGAGCGAACGGACGAGAAGCUUGCUUCUCUGAUGUUAGCGGCGGACGGGUGAGUAACACGUGGAUAACCUACCUAUAAGACUGGGAUAACUUCGGGAAACCGGAGCUAAUACCGGAUAAUAUUUUGAACCGCAUGGUUCAAAAGUGAAAGACGGUCUUGCUGUCACUUAUAGAUGGAUCCGCGCUGCAUUAGCUAGUUGGUAAGGUAACGGCUUACCAAGGCAACGAUGCAUAGCCGACCUGAGAGGGUGAUCGGCCACACUGGAACUGAGACACGGUCCAGACUCCUACGGGAGGCAGCAGUAGGGAAUCUUCCGCAAUGGGCGAAAGCCUGACGGAGCAACGCCGCGUGAGUGAUGAAGGUCUUCGGAUCGUAAAACUCUGUUAUUAGGGAAGAACAUAUGUGUAAGUAACUGUGCACAUCUUGACGGUACCUAAUCAGAAAGCCACGGCUAACUACGUGCCAGCAGCCGCGGUAAUACGUAGGUGGCAAGCGUUAUCCGGAAUUAUUGGGCGUAAAGCGCGCGUAGGCGGUUUUUUAAGUCUGAUGUGAAAGCCCACGGCUCAACCGUGGAGGGUCAUUGGAAACUGGAAAACUUGAGUGCAGAAGAGGAAAGUGGAAUUCCAUGUGUAGCGGUGAAAUGCGCAGAGGUAUGGAGGAACACCAGUGGCGAAGGCGACUUUCUGGUCUGUAACUGACGCUGAUGUGCGAAAGCGUGGGGAUCAAACAGGAUUAGAUACCCUGGUAGUCCACGCCGUAAACGAUGAGUGCUAAGUGUUAGGGGGUUUCCGCCCCUUAGUGCUGCAGCUAACGCAUUAAGCACUCCGCCUGGGGAGUACGACCGCAAGGUUGAAACUCAAAGGAAUUGACGGGGACCCGCACAAGCGGUGGAGCAUGUGGUUUAAUUCGAAGCAACGCGAAGAACCUUACCAAAUCUUGACAUCCUUUGACAACUCUAGAGAUAGAGCCUUCCCCUUCGGGGGACAAAGUGACAGGUGGUGCAUGGUUGUCGUCAGCUCGUGUCGUGAGAUGUUGGGUUAAGUCCCGCAACGAGCGCAACCCUUAAGCUUAGUUGCCAUCAUUAAGUUGGGCACUCUAAGUUGACUGCCGGUGACAAACCGGAGGAAGGUGGGGAUGACGUCAAAUCAUCAUGCCCCUUAUGAUUUGGGCUACACACGUGCUACAAUGGACAAUACAAAGGGCAGCGAAACCGCGAGGUCAAGCAAAUCCCAUAAAGUUGUUCUCAGUUCGGAUUGUAGUCUGCAACUCGACUACAUGAAGCUGGAAUCGCUAGUAAUCGUAGAUCAGCAUGCUACGGUGAAUACGUUCCCGGGUCU
rnacentral:rRNA from 1 species